UGGUAUGCUUUGAGAUCACUAAUCAAGCUUUAUAAUUGUAAAAUUUUAUCUCAAGGCUUGGUGUGGUUAGACUUAAUUAUUAAGUCGCUAAGGAUACUUUAUGAUAUAUCAUAAUAGUUUUCUUUUCUAAGAAUUGUAAGUAUUAUUGUAGCUCUAUGCAUUAUAGUAUAAAGUACUUGAUAGUUAAAGACAAAGAGUUCAAAAAUAAUUAAUGUCAAUUAAGGAUUUGAGUUCUACUAUAUUGAUUGUUGAUUCGUUCAUUUAGGACUUACAAUCUAAAGUGUUUGAAAGAAUAUAUUCUUGCAAUUGGGUUUGUGAGCAACCCAUAAAAGAUAUGGUGAUACAUGAGUGGACAUUAUAAUUGAUAUUCUUAUUUACAUAACUAAAGUUAUUUGUUUCUACUAUCAUAUUUAUAUUUAUAUAUAUACAUAUUAUGGUUAAAUGUGCUAAUAGGAUUAUUUUGAUAAGAUAAAUUACAUGUGUUAUUUUAGACUAUAUUAGGAAGAGUCAAUAGUGUUAUAGUACAUAGAAGGAAGUAUAACAUUGAUGAUAUGCAAUUACUAUGACUCGUAUUGAUAGUCGAACUUAAUGUGAUAUUAUGUUUAUUGGACUUAUUGGUCUGUUUUAUAAAAUUUAUAUAUACGUGUAAUUAGGUAAGAUAUAUUAUGAAUAUAAUUGAAUUGUUAUCAGCAAUAGAAAAGAAGUCCAAGUAUAAUAGGAUUCCUCAAGAGAUAACCUUGAUAAGAGGGACUCUCCUAAUUACUUAUAUUAAAUUAUCUACUCUCGCCUAUAGAUAGACAAGACCUACUAAAGACUAAAAAUACAAUACAUGGAUAUGUGGACACACAGAUAAGAUGAGACAGAGAUAUGUGACAUUAUAGAGAGAUUACAAAUCUUCUCUCAUCUUCUCUUAAUCACAUGAACCAAUCAUUGAGAGAUUAUAGAUCUUCUCUCAUCUCCCCUUUAUCUUUGAUUCAUCGUAUAUAGCGGUCAUGUGAAGGAUAAGAAGAGAGAAGAACGCGAGUCUAGUUCUCCUUACAAAUUAGCUUUGCUAUAUCUUUCGGAUCUAAUGACGUUGCACCGUAGAACAGAUAAAAGCUUCAUGAAUGACAUUGUAAGGUACACGUCAUAAGUUUGAUCUAUUGUUAUAUGAUUUCAGAAUUUUAACAUUAAAAUUUUUUAUAUAAUAAUGACAUCAUGAUGAUUUUUAUGCUCACAGAUAAAUCUAGCAUCAAAUCCAAAGUUUGGUUAGUAACCUGUGUUGUAGGAACAGAUUAAUACUUGAAUUGGUGUUAUUUCUUGUCUAAAAUGUCGCUGGACAUCAUUUAAAUUUUAGAUCUUUCUGCAUAUAUGCAUUUUGAUAUAUUUUACUCUCUUUUUGCUUUCUUAUUAGAGGUAUCUGAUUAAAUAUGCUGAUUUAACUCUGCUGCAGUGUAUAUCUUUGUUAGAAUAAGCAAAAUUGUUUUAACUAUAAAGCGUUCAACUUGUCUGCCACUCAUGAUUAUUGAACAAUCUCCUUUUCUGGAUGUUAAUGUUAGCUAUAAGCAAUAAUAAGAUUGUUGUUUUGUCUUGUUACUUUACCUACACAAACAUGCAGGGGAUGAGAUUGAUCUGUUUUUCAGUUUGCUGCUACAUUUAUUUUUUUUCGAUUUAUUAUAUACUUGCUGGAUCAUGUUGCAUCAGUUGCCAUUAAAAUUUUUGGUAUUUCGCCAGUUAGUAAUAUUAAAUUGUGGGUGCUGUUUUAGGAGCUUGUCUUCUCUUUGUUCAACUGAAUUUUAAGGUAUUUGUAUAUGUUUAUUAGUGUAGUUGUCCAAAGUCUGGAUGAAUGUACACCGAGGAUGGAAAUACUGAUGCAUCAUAAUCUAUACUCUGAUGAUCAAUUGCUGAUGUAGAAUGGAGUGAGAAAGUCAAGUUUUAUCAUAUUGAUGGUUGACUUCAAUGAGACAUUGUUGAAGCUUCUUUCUAUGCGAGCUUGCUUCCUAGUCAGGCUUUUUUGAGCUGUAUCUUCUCUAUGGAAUGUGGGCUUUUCUAGACCACAUCAAUGAGUAAGUACUAGCAGCACAGUGAAGUGUUACUAUUAUUUUGCCAAGCCAACUAGAAAAUGAGAGAAAUAUUUUCUUUUUAACAGCAGAAUUAGGUGAAUUGCUGUAAAAAAAAACGAAAAUGAUCUCACAUGAAUGAGUGUCUCAGAAUUCAGAUUCAAAAAAAUACAGCAGGAAAGACAGCAGUCUUCUAUCUGAGAGAAUGAUAUAAGACCAGAAAUUGUUGGAACAGAAGAUAGAAACCUCUCAGAAAGAAUGUCAACUACUUUGUGAACACCCUAAUGCAUUUCAUAAACUUUCUUUAAGUGAAUCGAGGGUAGAAGUAAAUAUAGUCGAUGGAUCUUAUGGUCUUAAUUAAGUGCUAAAGGAAUGCAUAUAAGUAUCCUUUGACUAAUAUCCACAGAUCGCUUAUCUUUUGCGUCGAGUUAUUCGCCCCUAACAUUUGAUAUAAUGUCCUUAACAAAUAUAUCCUGGAUCGAAGAAAUUUUAUUCACUUUCAAUUCAUCUUAAUGCUUACACUGACAGAUAAAAUAUGAAUUCAAAGGGACAUCAUCAGUAAAAUCCUGUUCAUCAAUUAAAUUUUCAGGUAACAGAGAUGGAGGCCCUAAGGUUGAUUCUUCUGUGUUUUAGUUAUCAUGUCUGUCUAUUUGAGGUCCCAUGUGUUUGGCUUCCGGCCAGUCCAUAUCUGAGAAUCUUUAAAUCAUUAUUUUGAUAAAAUCCCUAUCUUAUUAAUCAGCUCAAGUGUUUCAAGGAAUUAGCAGUUGUUCAAAUAUAAAAAUUUAAUGUCAACAGUGACUGUGUAACUAAAUAUUUUAUUGGCUCAAUAUUUUUUCAUCAUUAAAUUCACUGAUAUCUUUAGGCAUGAGGCAGAUUCCUUUAGUGUCAACAGUGACUGGACUACUUUGUGAAUACCCUAAUGCAUUUCAUAAACUUUCUUUAAGUAAAUCGAGAGUAGAAGUAAAUAUAGUUGAUGGAUCUUAUGGUCUUAAUUAAGUGCUAAAGGAAUGCAUAUAAGUAUACUUUGACUGAUAUCCACAGAUCGCUUAUCUUUUGCGUCGAGUUAUUCGCUCCUAACAUUUGAUAUAAUGUACGUAGCAAAUAUAUCCUGGAUCGAAGAAAUUUUAUUCACUUUCAAUUCAUCUUAGUGCUUACCAAGGUUCGCAAUACCGUACUGUACCAGUAUUUCGACCUGGGCUCGGUACCGGUACGGUACGGUAUACCGAGCGGUACACCCAUGUGUACCGAGCGAUACACCUAGGUGUGUCGAGUACUGUAGCAUUGCUACAGUGCUACUGUGCACUCGGACCGGUAAGAGACGGUCCGCGUACCGACAACCUAUCGGACUGGUACGUACCGCCCGUAUCGGGCGGUACGGUUCGUACGACAGACCCUGGUGCUUACACUGACAGAUAAAAUAUGAAUUUACAGGGACAUCAUCAGUAAAAUCCCGUUCAUCAAUUAAAUUUUCAAGUUGAUUUUCCUGUGUUUUAGUUAUCUUGUCUGUCUAUUUGAGGUUCCAUGUGUUUAGCUUCCUGCCAGUCCAUAUCCGAGAAUAUUAAAUCAUUAUUUUGAUAAAAUCCCUAUCUUAUUAAUCAGCUCAAGUGUUUAAAGGAAUUGGCAGUUGUUCAAAUAUAAAAAUUUAGAGUGUCAACAGUGACUGUGGAACCAAAUAUUUUAUUGGCUCAAUAUUUUUUCAUCAUUAAAGUCACUGAUAUCUUUUGGCAUGAGGCAGAUUCCUCAGAUGUAAGGCAUUCAACUUUUCUUUUCUGCAUUGGCAUAAUUAGUCAUCUCAUACUGCAAUUGAACAUUUUUCUCUUAGAUGAUGUUGAGGCAGCUCCUACGUCUAACCUGAUAUACUCUUGAACCUUAGGAAUUCAUUAUAUUUUCUUGUUAUGGGUAUUAGAUCAUCUUCAUAAAAAUAAUCUCUUCCUCGAAUUGCUCGAUGGGGACUUAUACAUGAAUACCGUAUAAAUUUCCUAAUCACCGAUAUAGGAAUUAAAUUUCUCUCUGUUUAAAUAAUAGCAAAAGAUGAUCUGCAUUUUCUUCAGAAGGUUUAGAUGAUGACCCUUAAAGCUCAAUGAUUCCAUGUACUGUUCCACAGAAAGACAUAUGUGUAAAUUAUUCUGUUGGAUAGGUGCAUUUAGUUAAAACUCUGGAUCAUUGUUACAUUAGAUAUUUAUAUUAUUUUCUUCUACAUCUUGCUUGCUCUGUAACCUCAGUAAAAUCCUUAAUUUUUUUCUCAUGCAGGUUGUCUUGCUGAAUAUUUUUAGGCUCUCCAAAGCUGGAGCAGAGCCAUGAUUAGGAGGGCCACAAGAGUAUAACAUAUAUAAGUGAUGCUUCAAGUUUUCCAAGAGUCAGGAUGGAUCCACUCUUUGAGAAGAUAAAGUGGAAGCAAAAAGGUAAAGUUCUGAGUGAUAUAAUUCCAUUGGAUCAUCUUGCUUCUUUUUAUCCCUAGAAAGGCUUUCCUUCAUAUAAUAUCAGUUUCUUACAAGAUUCCACAGGUCUUUGAUGCUUCAAACAUUACAACUCUCUAGGUCUGAUCCUCUUUUUUUUUCUCUUAAAGAUGCUUUGCCACAAAACCAAAGUGAACUUACCUUCUCUUGCUUCUCUGACCAAUUCAUAGCAAAGCAGAAAAGCUGCAUUUAUAGGGUUAUCAUCAGAGACCAUGUUUUGACAGUUGCUGACAUUUGAUUGGCUGGCUCCUUGGUGAUCCAAGCCAGGAUUUUUCCAUCCCCUCCUGUGCUGUACUGAUGAGGAAUUAAAUUGCAAUUAGGACAAGCAUGAAUGGAAUGGAAUGGAAUCAUCUGCAGCUCCAUUAGCGCAGGGGGGGAGAAGACUCAGAGGACCAAAACGGAUCAAGAAAUGGACAUGGAUGCGACUGUGGCUCAUCAUUCUCAUCGAUUCGAGGAACAGCUUAGGUGUUGGUCCCCGGGAUCAGAAGUUGUUGCUGCAUGUAACCCCAGGAAGAGACAAAAAGUGGCAUUCAAAGCCCUCUCUGGGUAUGUCAUGGACGAAUGGUCACCUUGGACUCUACGUUUGGUCCAAGAGAAUACUAUAUCGGCGUUCGACUUUGAAUUCCUUCCGACUAUUGGCACCAUCGAACUUUUCUGAGCACAUCCAACCUCUACUCCAUCCACUGCUCAAACCCUUUCAAAAGGAGCUGCGAUCAAGUAUGUUUUCUGGUGAUCAGUCCUUCCUUUUGUCUUCACUAAAUCUCCCUCUCCGUCAUGCUGUUGAACUGUUGGCUAAGAUUCAUGACGUAAAAUAUAUAUGUAUGUAUAUUGGUGAUGAACUCUUCUAUAACCUAUUUUUUUGUGACCAAAGU